CGAAUUGUGCUUGCCACACUGCUCGCAGAUUUGCGAGCACAAUUAGUGGUGCUUGCAAAAUUGCGUUUUUUCAUCUAUACUUUUCUAGUAAACGAAUUGUGCUUGCUCCCUACCUGCAGAUUUGCCAGCACAAUUAAUGGUGCUUGCAAAAUUAUUACUACUAGUAAUUCUUAUCCAGAUGCAUCUUCCUCAGUGAAAUAAUGGGCCGCAAACCUUUCACUGAAAAUACUUCUCAAAAUUUCUCACCGCCUAAUUCUCACCGCCAGUCUCCCUCCCUAAACAAACCCUAAACCUCCCCUCUCUCGUAUCAUCUCUCACUAAACCAUGUGCUGCGCUCUGAUUCAUUUCAUCCAUGCGCCUUCGAACAGUUAUCAGCGGCGAGAUUCAAUCGGAGGAUCAAAUGCUGCCGCGCAAAGCUUCUCGAAGAGCAGAUUGUUUGAAAAAUAUUUUGAGAUAAUUUGUUGCAUUUAAUGUGUGAGUGAACUAGAUCCUGUGAAGCCGAGACUCUGGGGCUGCCAACUGUGUGAAUACUACAAAAUCCUCAAUCGGUUUACACACUUAUCUGAUUUCUAGAUUUGUUUACUUCUGUGUGAAUUGUAACGAUGUGAAAAACUUGGAGAAGUUUUCAAAGGGAAACCAAAUUUGAUUUUUGAGCUCACUGAUUUUAGUUCUCAGGGGAGAUUUCAUUUUGAAGUUGGUAAUAGCAGGAAAUCAAAAAAUUGCUGGAGCUGGUCCGUAGUCAACAAGUUCAAGAGAGGAGGAGAAGAAGUGCAUAGAUUUAGGGAGUGUUAGGUUUGACUUCUAUGUUUAUGGAAGAAAAGGGAGGUUUUUUUUUCUAUUCUAGUUUCAUGGUGUGCAAGUUAUGAAACAGUGACAGUUAUCAUUUUGGAAUAUUCAAAUCAUUCGUUUGGUUUGAAGUGUAAAACAAUAUUUUUAAUUUUAUGUAGAAUUUAAAUUUUGUCA